AACGAACGCUGGCGGCAUGCCUAACACAUGCAAGUCGAACGAGACCAAGGCUUCGGCCUGAAGUCUAGUGGCGCACGGGUGCGUAACGCGUGGGAAUCUACCCUUGGGUUCGGAAUAACAGUUAGAAAUGACUGCUAAUACCGGAUGAUGACGUAAGUCCAAAGAUUUAUCGCCCAGGGAUGAGCCCGCGUAAGAUUAGCUUGUUGGUGAGGUAAAGGCUCACCAAGGCGACGAUCUUUAGCUGGUCUGAGAGGAUGAUCAGCCACACUGGGACUGAGACACGGCCCAGACUCCUACGGGAGGCAGCAGUGGGGAAUAUUGGACAAUGGGCGAAAGCCUGAUCCAGCAAUGCCGCGUGAGUGAUGAAGGCCUUAGGGUUGUAAAGCUCUUUACCCGGGAUGAUAAUGACAGUACCGGGAGAAUAAGCUCCGGCUAACUCCGUGCC
rnacentral:rRNA from 1 species